rnacentral:rRNA from 1 species
GAUGAACGCUGGCGGCGUGCCUAAUACAUGCAAGUCGAGCGAACAGACGAGGAGCUUGCUCCUCUGACGUUAGCGGCGGACGGGUGAGUAACACGUGGAUAACCUACCUAUAAGACUGGGAUAACUUCGGGAAACCGGCGCUAAUACCGUAUAAUAUAUUGAACCGCAUGGUUCAAUAGUGAAAGACGGUUUUGCUGUCACUUAUAGAUGGAUCCGCGCCGCAUUAGCUAGUUGGUAAGGUAACGGCUUACCAAGGCAACGAUGCGUAGCCGACCUGAGAGGGUGAUAGGCCACACUGGAGCUGAGACACGGUCCAGACUCCUGCGGGAGGCAGCAGUAGGGAAUCUUCCGCAAUGGGCGAAAGCCUGACGGAGCAACGCCGCGUGAGUGAUGAAGGUCUUCGGAUCGUAAAACUCUGUUAUUAGGGAAGAACAAAUGUGUAAGUAACUAUGCACGUCUUGACGGUACCUAAUCAGAAAGCCAUGGCUAACUACGUG